rfam:Enterococcus asini ATCC 700915 genomic scaffold acvKe-supercont1.4, whole genome shotgun sequence.
UUCUAUGGUACAAUAUGAGUUGUAGUUUUUGUUAAGGGAUCUUAUGGUAGGUUUGUUUGGUAAACAUCUUUCCCAUGAACACCCGAUACAUGAAAUUGCACAAUCAAAACGUGGGAAAACCCCACCAGGAGGAUACUUAACAUGCAAACAGGUACUGUAAAAUGGUUCAACGCUGACAAAGGCUUCGGAUUUAUCACUGCGGAAGACGGCAACGAUGUAUUCGUUCACUUCUCAGCUAUCCAAGGCGACGGAUUCAAAACUUUAGAAGAAGGUCAAGCAGUGACUUUCGAUGUUGAAGAAGGUCAACGUGGCCCUCAAGCAACAAACGUUGUUAAAGCGUAAUUUUAUUUGUCAAUCAUGAGUCUGGCGGUUUUUUCCCGUCAGGCUUUUUU